CCUACGGGAGGCAGCAGUGAGGAAUAUUGGUCAAUGGACGAGAGUCUGAACCAGCCAAGUAGCGUGAAGGAUGACUGCCCUAUGGGUUGUAAACUUCUUUUAUAAAGGAAUAAAACGAGGCACGUGUGCCUUUUUGCAUGUACUUUAUGAAUAAGGAUCGGCUAACUCCGUGCCAGCAGCCGCGGUAAUACGGAGGAUCCGAGCGUUAUCCGGAUUUAUUGGGUUUAAAGGGAGCGUAGAUGGGUUGUUAAGUCAGUUGUGAAAGUUUGCGGCUCAACCGUAAAAUUGCAAGUGAUACUGGCAGUCUAGAGUACAGUUGAGGUAGGCGGAAUUCGUGGUGUAGCGGUGAAAUGCUUAGAUAUCACGAAGAACCCCGAUUGCGAAGGCAGCUUACUAAACUGUGACUGACAUUGAUGCUCGAAAGUGUGGGUAUCAAACAGGAUUAGAUACCCCUGUAGUC
rnacentral:rRNA from 1 species